AGCAGCCGCGGUAAUUCCAGCUCCAAUAGCGUAUAUUAAAGUUGUUGCAGUUAAAAAGCUCGUAGUUGAAUUUCAGGCCUGGCUGGACGGUCCGCCCUUCGGGUGAGUACUGUCUGUGGUCGGGUCCUACCUUCUGGCGAAGCGUCAUGGCCUUAACCGGCCGUGGCGGGGAACCAGGACUUUUACUGUGAAAAAAUUAGAGUGUUCAAAGCAGGCAAUCGCUUGGAUACACUAGCAUGGAAUAAUGGAAUAGGACGAUGGUUCUAUUUGUUGGUUUCUAGGACCGUUGUAAUGAUUAAUAGGGAUAGUUGGGGGCAUUAGUAUUCAAUUGUCAGAGGUGAAAUUCUUGGAUUUAUUGAAGACUAACUACUGCGAAAGCAUUUGCCAAGGAUGUUUUCAUUAAUCAAGAACGAAAGUUAGGGGAUCGAAGACGAUCAGAUACCGUCGUAGUCUUAACCAUAAACUAUGCCGACUAGGAAUCGGGCGAUGUUGAUAAAAUGACGCGCUCGGCACCUCAUGG
rnacentral:rRNA from 1 species